rnacentral:rRNA from 1 species
GACGAAGGAUCCAAGCGUUAUCCGGAUUUAUUGGGUUUAAAGGGUGCGUAGGCGGAUUGAUAAGUCAGUGGUGAAAGCCUGCAGCUUAACUGCAGAACUGCCAUUGAUACUGUCAAUCUUGAAUAUGGUUGAUGUGGGCGGAAUAUGACAUGUAGCGGUGAAAUGCUUAGAUAUGUCAUAGAACACCGAUUGCGAAGGCAGCUCACAAAGCCAUUAUUGACGCUGGAGGCAACGAAAGCGUGGGGAUCAAACAGG